UUUUGUUAUCUUAAACCUUCCAGAUUGUUUCCUUUUUCUUUGUUAUCCGUAUUCACUGAUGUGUUCUGUAUAUUUAUGAACCACAUCCCCACCGAGCAAAU